UCCCUGAUGGCUCAGAGGGUAAAGCGUCUGCUUGCAAUGCGGGAGACCUGGGUUUGAUCCCUGGGUCGGGAA
rnacentral:tRNA from 1 species